CAAUAGCGUAUAUUAAAGUUGUUGCAGUUAAAACGCUCGUAGUUGAACAUCUGCCCUUUUCCGGUUAGGUCCGCUCUGCGUGCACCUUCCGAAAUCGGCAUCCGUCUGCGUUGCUUCGCAUUGCAGACCGUUCACUUUGAGGAAAUUAGAGUGUUCAAAGCAGGCUUACGCCUUGAAUACUUCAGCAUGGAAUGAUUGAUAGGACUUCUAUCCCAUCUUGGUUCUAGGGACAGAAGUAAUGGUAAACAGGGUUGGUUGGGGGCAUUCGUACUGAACAGUCAGAGGUGAAAUUCUUAGAUUUGUUCAAGACGAACAACUGCGAAAGCAUUUGCCAAGGACGACCCCAUUAA
rnacentral:rRNA from 1 species